rnacentral:rRNA from 1 species
UACGAAGGGGACUAGCGCUGUUCGGAAUCACUGGGCGUAAAGCGCACGUAGGCGGAUUUGUAAGUCAGGGGUGAAAUCCCGGAGCUCAACUUCGGAAUUGCCUUUGAUACUGUCUAUCUUCGAGUUCGGGAGAGGUUGGCGGAAUUCCUAGUGUAGAGGUGAAAUUCGUAGAUAUUAGGAAGAACACCAGUGGCGAAGGCGGCCAACUGGCCCGAUACUGACGCUCAUGUGCGAAAGCGUGGGGAGCAAACAGG